rnacentral:rRNA from 1 species
UCUAGUGACCGAUAGUGAACCAGUACCGUGAGGGAAAGGUGAAAAGCACCCCGGAAGGGGAGUGAAAUAGAACCUGAAACCGUGUGCUUACAAGUAGUCAGAGCCCGUUAAUGGGUGAUGGCGUGCCUUUUGUAGAAUGAACCGGCGAGUUACGAUUUGAUGCAAGGUUAAGCAGUAAAUGUGGAGCCGUAGCGAAAGCGAGUCUGAAUAGGGCGUUUAGUAUUUGGUCGUAGACCCGAAACCAGGUGAUCUACCCUUGGUCAGGUUGAAGUUCAGGUAACACUGAAUGGAGGACCGAACCGACUUACGUUGAAAAGUGAGCGGAUGAACUGAGGGUAGCGGAGAAAUUCCAAUCGAACCUGGAGAUAGCUGGUUCUCUCCGAAAUAGCUUUAGGGCUAGCCUCAAGUGAUGAUUAUUGGAGGUAGAGCACUGUUUGGACGAGGGGCCCCUCUCGGGUUACCGAAUUCAGACAAACUCCGAAUGCCAAUUAAUUUAACUUGGGAGUCAGAACAUGGGUGAUAAGGUCCGUGUUCGAAAGGGAAACAGCCCAGACCACCAGCUAAGGUCCCAAAAUAUAUGUUAAGUGGAAAAGGAUGUGGCGUUGCCCAGACAACUAGGAUGUUGGCUUAGAAGCAGCCAUCAUUUAAAGAGUGCGUAAUAGCUCACUAGUCGAGUGACACUGCGCCGAAAAUGUACCGGGGCUAAACAUAUUACCGAAGCUGUGGAUUGUCCUUUGGACAAUGGUAGGAGAGCGUUCUAAGGGCGUUGAAGCAUGAUCGUAAGGACAUGUGGAGCGCUUAGAAGUGAGAAUGCCGGUGUGAGUAGCGAAAGACGGGUGAGAAUCCCGUCCACCGAUUGACUAAGGUUUCCAGAGGAAGGCUCGUCCGCUCUGGGUUAGUCGGGUCCUAAGCUGAGGCCGACAGGCGUAGGCGAUGGAUAACAGGUUGAUAUUCCUGUACCACCUAUAAUCGUUUUAAUCGAUGGGGGGACGCAGUAGGAUAGGCGAAGCGUGCGAUUGGAUUGCACGUCUAAGCAGUAAGGCUGAGUAUUAGGCAAAUCCGGUACUCGUUAAGGCUGAGCUGUGAUGGGGAGAAGACAUUGUGUCUUCGAGUCGUUGAUUUCACACUGCCGAGAAAAGCCUCUAGAUAGAAAAUAGGUGCCCGUACCGCAAACCGACACAGGUAGUCAAGAUGAGAAUUCUAAGGUGAGCGAGCGAACUCUCGUUAAGGAACUCGGCAAAAUGACCCCGUAACUUCGGGAGAAGGGGUGCUCUUUAGGGUUAACGCCCAGAAGAGCCGCAGUGAAUAGGCCCAAGCGACUGUUUAUCAAAAACACAGGUCUCUGCUAAACCGUAAGGUGAUGUAUAGGGGCUGACGCCUGCCCGGUGCUGGAAGGUUAAGAGGAGUGGUUAGCUUCUGCGAAGCUACGAAUCGAAGCCCCAGUAAACGGCGGCCGUAACUAUAACGGUCCUAAGGUAGCGAAAUUCCUUGUCGGGUAAGUUCCGACCCGCACGAAAGGCGUAACGAUUUGGGCACUGUCUCAACGAGAGACUCGGUGAAAUCAUAGUACCUGUGAAGAUGCAGGUUACCCGCGACAGGACGGAAAGACCCCG